rfam:Hordeum vulgare subsp. vulgare, WGS project CAJW01000000 data, contig: morex_contig_56565
UUACACCUAUGAUGAGUUGCGAACUGUAUUGCCUACAUUGUUUGAUCAAAAUCUUGUGAGAAGUAAUGCAACGUCUGAGGAUGAA